AGAUUGGUGGAGGUAGCCUAUCUAUUUUGUAGGUAUCUGUGCGUUACAGAGAUCACUUUAUAAAUAUAAUUAUUAAUUAUUCCAAUAUUAUUGAAGCAGUAUUAAUAAUUAAUAUUGAGCAAUUUCAUGUGGAUCAUCAUGUUCUUGUUGAUGAUCAUGCUUAUAUAUGUAGCUGUGACACCAAAUA